rnacentral:rRNA from 1 species
UAACGGCCCACCAAGCCUUCGAUGGAUAGGGGUUCUGAGAGGAAGGUCCCCCCACAUUGGAACUGAGACACGGUCCAAACUCCUACGGGAGGCAGCAUG